CUUGGUAAUUAUUGCAUCAUGGAACCACUCAAUACAUUCCGAACUUGCAAGUGAAACGUGAGUUGCGCCGAUGGUACUGCUCUUUUAAGAGUGGGAGAUUAGGUCGUUGCCAAGC
rnacentral:rRNA from 1 species